UUGUAGGUUAGCAAAUCUUUUUUUCUUAUUUUAUUAUGUUUUCGAUUUCAAAGCAUGAUAGUUAAGAUUUCACAACUUUCCCCUCAUUUUGUGGCUAGGGUUUCAUAGCUUUCUUCGGGGCUGGGUUUCAAAGUGGAUAUUCGUGGUUGUAGGUUAGUAAAUAUUUUGUCUUAUUUUAUUAUGUUAACAAUUUCAAAGCAUGAUAGUUAGAAUUUCACAACGUUCCCCUCAUUUUGCGGCUAGGGUUUCAUAGCUUUCUUCGGGGUUGGGUUUCAAAGUGG
rnacentral:lncRNA from 1 species